UUGUCUCUCUUGAGUGGAUCCUGAGUACGACGGAGCACGUGAAAUUCCGUCGGAAUCUGGGAGGACCAUCUCCUAAGGCUAAAUACUCUCUAGUGACCGAUAGUGAACCAGUACCGUGAGGGAAAGGUGAAAAGCACCCCGGAAGGGGAGUGAAAUAGAACCUGAAACCGUGUGCUUACAAGUAGUCAGAGCCCGUUAAUGGGUGAUGGCGUGCCUUUUGUAGAAUGAACCGGCGAGUUACGAUUUGAUGCAAGGUUAAGCAGUAAAUGUGGAGCCGUAGCGAAAGCGAGUCUGAAUAGGGCGUUUAGUAUUUGGUCGUAGACCCGAAACCAGGUGAUCUACCCUUGGUCAGGUUGAAGUUCAGGUAACACUGAAUGGAGGACCGAACCGACUUACGUUGAAAAGUGAGCGGAUGAACUGAGGGUAGCGGAGAAAUUCCAAUCGAACCUGGAGAUAGCUGGUUCUCUCCGAAAUAGCUUUAGGGCUAGCCUCAAGUGAUGAUUAUUGGAGGUAGAGCACUGUUUGGACGAGGGGCCCCUCUCGGGUUACCGAAUUCAGACAAACUCCGAAUGCCAAUUAAUUUAACUUGGGAGUCAGAACAUGGGUGAUAAGGUCCGUGUUCGAAAGGGAAACAGCCCAGACCACCAGCUAAGGUCCCAAAAUAUAUGUUAAGUGGAAAAGGAUGUGGCGUUGCCCAGACAACUAGGAUGUUGGCUUAGAAGCAGCCAUCAUUUAAAGAGUGCGUAAUAGCUCACUAGUCGAGUGACACUGCGCCGAAAAUGUACCGGGGCUAAACAUAUUACCGAAGCUGUGGAUUGUCCUUUGGACAAUGGUAGGAGAGCGUUCUAAGGGCGUUGAAGCAUGAUCGUAAGGACAUGUGGAGCGCUUAGAAGUGAGAAUGCCGGUGUGAGUAGCGAAAGACGGGUGAGAAUCCCGUCCACCGAUUGACUAAGGUUUCCAGAGGAAGGCUCG
rnacentral:rRNA from 1 species